GAUGAACGCUGGCGGCGUGCUUAACACAUGCCAGUCGAACGGAAAGGCGCUGCGUUUGUUGGUUUCUCGAUUGGCGAACAGGGGAGUAACACAUGAGUAACCUGCCCUUGACUGUGUGAUAACUUCAGGGAACUGCGGCUAAUACCCGGUAUAAUAUCCUGCUGCGUGUUGGUGGUUGGAGAGUUUCGGCGUUGGUGUAUGGACUGGCGGGUUAUCAGCUGGUUUGGGGGGUAGGGGCUGACCAAGGCUUUGACGGAUAGCCGGCCUGAGAGGGUGACCGGGCACCAUGGGCCUGAGAUAGGGCCCAGAAUCCUACGGGAGGCAGCAGGGGGGAAUAUUGCACAAUGGGCGGAAGCCUGAUGCAGAAACGCCGCGUGCGGGAUGCCGGCCUUCGGGUUGUAAACCGAUUUCGAAUGUGACGAAGAGUGAGUGACGGUAAUGGGUAAAGAAGCAACGGCUAACUACGUG
rnacentral:rRNA from 1 species